rnacentral:lncRNA from 1 species
UUUGAAUUGAGAUCAGUUUUGGAAAAAGGGAAAGGGGGAUGUGAAAAAAAAGGGGGGGGGUAAAUUUUUCUCAUUUCAGAUUUCAUAAAUAACAAGAAUGUGUCCAAAGUACACGGAUGCCCUACUCACACUAUCAUUUUCCAUGUUCAAUGGACCGUGAAAAUGGGUUAAAAAUAUAAUUAGGCAUUAAAAUUAGAAAGAUCAUAUCAUAGGGAACAUUUGUACUAAGUUUCAAGUUGAUUGGACUUCAACUUCAUCAAAAACUACCUUGACCAAAAACUUUAACCUGAAACUCGCACUUUCAUUUUGUAUGUUCAGUGGGCCGUGAAAUUGGGGUCAAAAGUUUAAUUUGUCUUUAAAAUUAGAAAGAUCAUAUCAUAAGGAACAUAUGUACUAAGUUUCAAGUUGAUUGGAUAUCAGCUUCAUCAAAAACUACCUUGACCAAAAACUUUAACCUGAAGUGGGACAGACGGACGAACGAACGGACGGACGAACGAACGGAACGAACGGACGCACAGACCAGAAAACAUAAUGGCCCUCUACUAUCGUAGGUGGGGCAUAAAAAGAAAAUUUCUUCAAACAUUUUUUUGAGAGGAUUAAUAUUCAACAGCAUAGUGAAUUGCUCAAAGGCAAAAUAAAUAUUUUAAGUUCAUUAGACCACAUUCAUUCUGUGUCCGAAACCUAUGCUGUGUCAACUAUUUAAUCACAAUCCAAAUUUAGAGCUGAAUCCAGCUUGAAUGUUGUGUCCAUACUUGCCCCAACCGUUCAGGGUUCAACCUUUGCGGUCGUAUAAAGCUGCGCCCUGCGGAGCAUCUGGUUAGCUACUAAAUUA